GGCUGUUGCCAAUUACUCCCUUUUCAUCAAUACAGGAGAAAGGAAGUCAAUGGCACCAGUGACAAGCUGGAUUUAUCCACUGAUCCGCAGCCAAAUGGAGACAAACUGAGUUCUACAUGCAUGAGAAUGCCAAGCGCUGUUUGAAGGAAGAGAGGAAGCAUUUCUUUCUGAGUGGCCUGGUGAAAGAGUUCAAGGCUGUCAAGCUGCAGUAUCCAGCAAGUUGAAGAGCCAGGUGCUUGAUGGAUUAGUUUACAUUUACGGACAAUUGGUUUUGUUUAUAUGGAGGGAGAGGAGAGAAAUUGGCUACAGGUUAGAGAGAAAUUGAGGUAGUAACUGCACUCUACAGGAAGAGGUGAGCUCUAGACUUAAGAAGUGAAGGGAAAUAGGAUGACAACCAGUUCCCUGACUCUCUUUUCUCCAGAUCUGGGUGCACAAGUGAAUCUGGGCCCACAAGCAGAUCAUCUGUUAGAAAAAUAUCUUGCAGCAAGGAAGAAGGGAGUGGUAAAAAAUUGGGAGUCUCUGUAGUGAUAGAUUAUUGGAAUUGUGGACCCUGGAGACAGUGAGUGGGGAAAUAUUACUGUUGUGACCGGAUAGGAAAAGGAGGCGUGUUUUUCUUGUCUAUCUUUCUGCAUUUAUGUGCAAUAAGAAGAUGGUGGCCUAUUUUUUUUACAUGCUAAUUGCAUGAAGUAGCAUGAUCCAGUAGCAAAAACA